rnacentral:tRNA from 1 species
GGAUGUAUAGGUCAGUGGUAGAGCACAUGCUUAACAUGCAGAAGUCAUGAGUUCAUGGGUUCGAUCCCCGGUACCUCCA